rnacentral:rRNA from 1 species
UUCCGGUUGAUCCUGCCGGACCCCACUGCUAUCGGGAUAGGACUAAGACAUGCUAGUCGUGCGCUUUCUAGCUAAUGUGAGAGCGCGGCAUACAGCUCAGUAACACGUGGCUAACCAGCCCUUGGGACAGAAACACCCCCGGGAAACUGGGGUUAAUUUCUGAUAGGUGAAAAAUUCUGGAAUGAAUUUUCGCCCAAAAGACGUUUAUGUCAUGCUCAUAAGCGUUGCCCAGGGAUGGGGCCGCGACCGAUCAGGUUGUUGGUGAGGUAAUGGCUCACCAAGCCUUUUACCGGUACGGGCCGUGAGAGCGGGAGCCCGGAGAUGGGCACUGAGACAAGGGCCCAGGCCCUACGGGGCGCAGCAGUCGCGAAAACUUUGCAAUACACGAAAGUGUGACAAGGCUAUCCCGAGUGCCACCCGCUGAGGAAGGCUUUUACCCAGUAUAAAUAGCUGGGAGAAUAAGGAGAGGGCAAGUCUGGUGUCAGCCGCCGCGGUAAUACCAGCUCUCCGAGUAGUGUGGAUGUUUAUUGGGCCUAAAGCAUCCGUAGCUUGCUAAGCAAGUCCCCUG